GAAAUGCGAUAAGUAAUGUGAAUUGCAGAUUUCAGUGAAUCAUCGAAUCUUUGAACGCACAUUGCGCCCGCCAGCACUCUGGCGGGCAUGCCUGUUCGAGCUUCAUUUCAACCCUCAGAACCCCUUGCGGGAUCUGGCGUUGGGGAUUGGCAUCCAGCCAGCCCCGAAAUCUAGUGGCGGUCCCUCCGCGACCUCCCCUGUGCAGUAGCGAUACCUCGCAGCGGGACAGCGGUCUGACCACGCCGUAAAACCCCCAACUUCUCAAGGUUGACCUCGAAUCAGGUAGGAAUACCCGCUGAACUUAAGC
rnacentral:misc_RNA from 1 species